rnacentral:rRNA from 1 species
GAUGAACGCUGGCGGCGUGCCUAAUACAUGCAAGUCGAGCGAACGGACGAGAAUCUUUCUUCUCUGAUGUUAUCGGCGGACGGGUGAGUAACACGUGGAGAACCUACAUAUAAGACUGGGAGAACUUCGGGAAACCGGAGCUAAUAUCGGGUAAUAUUUUGAACUUCAUGGUUCAAAAGUGAAAAACGGUCUUGCUGUCACUUAUAGAUGUAUCCGCGCUGCAUUAGCUAGUUUGUGAGGUAACGGCGUACCAAGGCAACGAUGCAUAGCCCACCUGGGAGGGGGAUCGGCCACACUGGGACAGAGACACGGCCCAGACUCCUACGGGGGGCAAGAGUAGGGAAACUUCCGCAAAGGGGGAAAGGCUGACGGAGCAAAGCCGCGUGAGGGAAGAAGGGUUUCGGAUCGGAAAACUCUUUUUUAAGGGAAGAAAAAUUACGUUAGUAACUGAACGUACCUUGACGGUACCUUACCAGAAAGCCACGGCUAACUACGUG